AUUGAACGCUGGCGGCAUGCCUUACACAUGCAAGUCGAACGGCAGCACGGGAGCAAUCCUGGUGGCGAGUGGCGAACGGGUGAGUAAUAUAUCGGAACGUGCCCGGUCGUGGGGAUAACGUAGCGAAAGCUACGCUAGUACCGCAUACGAUCUACGGAUGAAAGCGGGGGAUCGCAAGACCUCGCGCGAUUGGAGCGGCCGAUAUCAGAUUAGGUAGUUGGUGAGGUAAAGGCUCACCAAGCCGACGAUCUGUAGCUGGUCUGAGAGGACGACCAGCCACACUGGGACUGAGACACGGCCCAGACUCCUACGGGAGGCAGCAGUGGGGAAUUUUGGACAAUGGGCGCAAGCCUGAUCCAGCAAUGCCGCGUGCAGGAUGAAGGCC
rnacentral:rRNA from 1 species